UACGGAGGGUGCAAGCGUUGUUCGGAAUUAUUGGGCGUAAAGCGCGCGCAGGCGGUCUGAAAAGUCUAUGGGUGAAAUACCGGGGCUCAACCCCGCGUAUGCCCAGGAUACUGUCAGACUGGAGACACGUAGAGGCAAGCGGAAUUUCGGGUGUAGCGGUGGAAUGCGUAGAUAUCAUGAGGAAUACCAGAGGCGAAGGCGGCUACCUGGACAAUUGCUGACGCUCAGGCACGAAAGCGUGGGGAGCAAACAGG
rnacentral:rRNA from 1 species